rnacentral:lncRNA from 10 species
CUUACAUAAUGCUUCCACAUGCACCAUUCUACUUAUUAGACAACCCUGUGAAGUGGAUUCAAAUACUCUCAUUUUAUAGAUAAGAACAAUUUAGAUCUAGAAAUAGUAAGGAACUUAAAUCCAAUUUACACAACAAUGUUUUCUUGUUUCCCUGUUCUUGUUACUACCCUUCUGUACUUCAUCUUAAUAUAGAAUGGCCAGGAGAUAAGUGAAGCUAUAGAACUGACUGGGUGAUUCCAGAAAUUGGAGCUAUAGAGUCCCAUAGUAACUUAUGAAUUGUCCUACAGUGCAGUCCUACAGCUCCGUUAUGAUAAUCCUCCAGAUGAAGCUAUGUUCAAGACUGGACUAGAUCUUGUGCUAUAAAGCCACACUGGAACCAUCUCCAAUUCCCCACCUUGCUUCAGUUUUAUAUUCUUGCAGAUAGCCUCUUUGAAUCCAUCAGAGAUGGGGUUUCACCAUGUUCUGCAGGUUGGUCUUGAACUUCUAGGCUCAAGUGAUCCACGUACUUCGGCUUUCUGAAGUGCUGGGAUUACAGGUGUGAGCCGCAGCUCCUGGCUGUCUAUUAAACUCUCAUUCAGAAUAUUGAGUCAGAUCAGAAGAGAUGCAUCAAGUAUGGGAAGAGAUGGACUCAAAGGCAAACACCUCUUGUUUUAACUAUUAUAAAUGGGAAUGUGGCUGAGGUGCUUAUUUUGAUCUUUUAACAGGGUGAAGCUCUCAGACCUGAUUGAAAUACUGGGGAGACUGAGGGCUCCUUAAUGUUAGGGUAAACAGCAAUUUAAUGAUGAACUAUUCUGUGCUAUGUGUUUUCUGCCUAUUGCGUUAUUUUAACUCCACAUAUAUUUAUUCCUGGUAUCCGUGAAUAGAUUGCAGUCUUCCUCAGAAAAAUUAUUUUCUUUUAAGGUUAUCAUACUUCACUAAGUAAUUUAGAGUAUCAUGUAAAGAGUACAUACUCAAUUUUUUUUCUUAAAUUGAAUUUUUUAUUACUUGAGUCAUAGAAGAGAUUAUAUUAUCAGUUUUAAAUUUAUACUUAGCUGUGUGUGUAUAAAGAAUAAUUUUAGAAAAAGAACCUAAUAUUCUCCGUUCUUAAUCUUGGUAUGAUAAUAUUUUAUAUUCAGGAAGGAAUAUGGGAUAGAAGAAAAUCCCCAUAACCAGACCAUAAAAUUAAGUUGAAAUGAAAUAUAAAGGAUAUUGUAGUAUCUGCCUUGUAUAGUUGUCUCUUUUUUUCUGGGCUUUUUUUUAAAAUAUUUUACACAGUUUGAGCAAGUCCAAGGCUACUUGAAGAUUGUUUUCUUUAAAACCUAAUCAUUCUUUUAGCAAUUAAAGUACCGAAAACAAUUUUGUACAAACGUAUUUGCCACUAGAUUGUCCACAAAUCAAACACAUUCUUGAAGGUGAAAACAAAUAUUAGGGGAAAAGAGUACGUAAAUAUGGGGAAAACAUCUGCUUCAUCAUAGGAAUUGAAUCUGAUAUCAGGCUCUGCAAUAGCUUAUUUAUGAUAAUAUCCUGAAUCACAUUUUGUCACAACUUUAGUCCCUGGGUUACUUCUGAUUCAAACCUUUGGAACUCUAUCAUCUUAGCCCCUCCUGCAUAAGGAACACAAGCAUUCAAUGAGCAUAGUGCCAGAAAUUGAAAGUAAAAUUAGUAAAAUUCUUCUUAAUACAAAUACUCCUAGGAUGAGUUAACUAUUAUAUAUCAGAGUACUCUCUCCCCUUAGAUGUAUCAUUAAACAAUAUAAAUAUUAAUAAAGGCCUUUACAAAUGCCUUUGAUCACAUUAUAAGCCUUAUCUGAAAAUUUGGAGUAAUUUUGAUAUUUGUAAUUUUUUUUUCUUUAAUAUUAAAAGAGAGUAUAUCAAAGUGUUACGAUUGAAGUAUUAUGUUUUCCUUUCUCAAAAUAACUUGAAUAAAAUAUCCAACAAUCCUAAUUACUGCCUUCAUUUUUAUAAACACUCCAUUGUUGACUGCUUGCAAAAUUUUUCAUUAAAUGCAACAUAUAUCUUUAAUGUGUAUUAAAUAGUAUUAUUUUAUGAAAGAAAAAUAAAUCCUGGGGCCCCAAAAUCACUGAG